AGUGAACGCUGGCGGUAGGCCUAACACAUGCAAGUCGAACGGCAGCACAGUAAGAGCUUGCUCUUACGGGUGGCGAGUGGCGGACGGGUGAGGAAUACAUCGGAAUCUACUUUUUCGUGGGGGAUAACGUAGGGAAACUUACGCUAAUACCGCAUACGACCUACGGGUGAAAGCAGGGGAUCUUCGGACCUUGCGCGAUUGAAUGAGCCGAUGUCGGAUUAGCUAGUUGGCGGGGUAAAGGCCCACCAAGGCGACGACCCGUAGCUGGUCUGAGAGGAUGAUCAGCCACACUGGAACUGAGACACGGUCCAGACUCCUACGGGAGGCAGCAGUGGGGAAUAUUGGACAAUGGGCGCAAGCCUGAUCCAGCCAUACCGCGUGGGUGAAGAAGGCCUUCGGGUUGUAAAGCCCUUUUGUUGGGGAAGAAAAGCAGCAGGUUAAUACCCCGCUGUUCUGACGGUACCCAAAGAAUAAGCACCGGCUAACUUCGUG
rnacentral:rRNA from 1 species